rnacentral:lncRNA from 1 species
UGAAGUUUACUUUUGGUACUCCAGAGACCUAGCUUCUUCUUGCCUUCCUCCAAUGUGGUCUAUUUAAUCUCCUGUCGUGUGGGAAAUUAUGUUCAAAGUCUCCGUGAUCCUCUGUCCAGAGUAAGUUAUGCAUGUAGUGACAAGCACAUGCCACAAGGUCUCAAGAUUAUAUCUGCAAUGUGUUGCCGCUGGCUGUUGAUCAAGAUAGGCUGCAAGAAAAACAUUAUUAUCAAAUAAUUUUUCUUGCAUUUUUCCCAAGACGUUGUAGCCUAUUUAAACUUGGGAGGUUAAGUUUGUAGCAUUCAUUAUUACUGAAAAUUUAGUUCACACAAUCAUGAUGCUCUCUUUAUUAGGUGUUACCGUUAAACAAUAUUAAAAUAA